rnacentral:rRNA from 1 species
GACGAACGCUGGCGGCGUGCUUAACACAUGCAAGUCGAACGAAGUGGCGCACGGGUGAGUAACGCAUAAUCAACCUGCCCUUCCGAGGGGGACAACAGUUGGACAAGACUGCUAAUACCGCAUACUGCGGGGGGGGAUUGAGUCUGAUUAGCUAGUUGGAGGGGUAACGGCCCACCAAGGCGAUGAUCCGUAGCCGGUCUGAGAGGAUGAACGGCCACAAUGGGACUGAGACACGGCCCAGACUCCUACGGGAGGCAGCAGUGGGGAAUCUUCGGCAAUGGACGAAAGUCUGACGGAGCAACGCCGCGUGAGUGAUGACGGCUUUCGGGUCGUAAAGCUCUGUUAUUCGGGACGCGGUACCGAAAUAGAAAGCCACGGCUAACUACGUGCCAGCAGCCGCGGUAAUUC